UACGUAGGGGGCAAGCGUUGUCCGGAAUUAUUGGGCGUAAAGAGCGUGUAGGCGGUCCGGUAAGUCGGCUGUGAAAGUCCAGGGCUCAACCCUGGGAUGCCGGUCGAUACUGCCGGACUAGAGUUCGGAAGAGGCGAGUGGAAUUCCCGGUGUAGCGGUGAAAUGCGUAGAGAUCGGAAAGAACACCAACGGCGAAAGCACUCUGCUGGGCCGACACUGACACUGAGAGACGAAAGCUAGGGGAGCGAAUGGG
rnacentral:rRNA from 1 species